rfam:Planctomycetes bacterium RBG_13_62_9 RBG_13_scaffold_2960, whole genome shotgun sequence.
GGGCGGUUAGCUCAGUUGGCUAGAGCGCGUGCUCGACACGCACGAGGUCACAAGUUCAAAUCUUGUACCGCCCA